UACGUAGGGUGCAAGCGUUGCCCGGAUUUAUUGGGCGUAAAGGGCGCGUAGGCGGCUCGGCACGUCCGUUGUGAAAUCGCCCGGCUCAACUGGGCGGGGUCAGCGGAUACGGCCGAGCUUGAGCAAGCUAGGGGGCAAUGGAAUUCCUGGUGUAGCGGUGGAAUGCGCAGAUAUCAGGAGGAACACCGGUGGCGAAGGCGGGAUCCUGGGCCAGUACUGACGCUGAGGAGCGAAAGCGUGGGGAGCAAACAGG
rnacentral:rRNA from 1 species